AAGGCUGUGCGUAUUAUUGCAGUAGGGUUGUCCUGGGAAUUUCUCCUUCCUCUCAGAUUCGACCCAAGCCUGCCCUAGAUCGCAGCCAUGUCUUCCAAGCAAGGUGGAAAGGCAAAGCCUUUGAAGCAACCCAAGUCCGAGAAGAAAGACUACGAUGAGUCUGAUUUGGCUAACCUUCAGAAGAAAAAGGAUGAGGAAAAGGCACUGAAGGAACUUAGAGCCAAGGCACAACAGAAGGGAUCCUUUGGAGGUGCUGGGCUCAAGAAAAGUGGGAAGAAAUGAGAGGGUUAUUAGAACCCUCUAGUUGGGGUGCAAUAUAUCUUUCUUGGGCUGUAAUUAUAAACACUAUUAUGUUGAAGUCUUUCAAUUUAUGUGGUGGUCUAGUUUCUAAUGUGCUGCUAGACGCAUGAGCGACUUUCAGUGUGUAACAGUAUGACUAUGUCUAAAUAAGUUAGUUGGAGUUUGCCUAUCUUGAGCCUUCCUGCGUUUUCUUUCUUAAGCUUUCUUUGCAGCAUUAUCUUUGUUUGCUCUGAAUUUGUUGUCUCAUGUGUCAGGCGAGGGAGGUUGGUUUUUAUAUUUUAUAAAUAAAUAAAAAUUAUUGCA